UACGUAGGUGGCAAGCGUUGUCCGGAAUUAUUGGGCGUAAAGGGUGCGUAGGCGGUUUGAUAAGUCAUCUGUGAAAUCUCUGGGCUCAACCCAGAGUCUGCAGGCGAAACUGUCGGGCUUGAGUAUGGGAGAGGUGAGUGGAAUUUCCGGUGUAGCGGUGAAAUGCGUAGAUAUCGGAAGGAACACCUGUGGCGAAAGCGGCUCACUGGACCAUUACUGACGCUGAUGCACGAAAGCUAGGGGAGCAAACAGG
rnacentral:rRNA from 1 species